rnacentral:tRNA from 1 species
GGGGGUGUAGCUGGAAGGUCUAUGCACUUGACUGUUAAUCAAGAGAUGAGAGUUCGAUUCUUAUCUUUCCCA